rnacentral:misc_RNA from 1 species
UAAUAAGUGUUUUAUGGCACUUUUUAAAUCCAUAUCCACCUUGUGUGCAUGUCAGUCGAUCUUCUUCAUGGAGAUCGACCAAACAUCAACCUUUAUUUUUUAACUCUUUGUCUGAAAAAUAUUAUGAAUAAACAAUUCAAAAUA